rnacentral:rRNA from 1 species
AGUCUAGGCGGUCAGGUAAGUGGGAUGUGAAAGCUCUCGGCUCACCCGAGAAUGUGCAUCUCAAACUGCCUGGCUUGAGUAUGGGAGAGGAUGAGGGAAUUCCUGGUGUAGCGGUGAAAUGCGUAGAUAUCAGGAGGAACACCGGUGGCGAAGGCGCUCAUCUGGCCCAAUACUGAGCUGAGCUCGAAAGGCUAGGGGAGCAAACG